CCUACGGGUGGCAGCAGUAGGGAAUCUUCCACAAUGGGCGAAAGCCUGAUGGAGCAACGCCGCGUGGGUGAAGAAGGUCUUCGGAUCGUAAACUCCUUUUGUUAGAGAAGAUAAUGACGGUAUCUAACGAAUAAGCACCGGCUAACUCCGUGCCAGCAGCCGCGGUAAUACGGAGGGUGCAAGCGUUACUCGGAGUCACUGGGCGUAAAGAGGGCGUAGGCGGGAUAGCAAGUCAGAUGUGAAAUCCUAUGGCUUAACCAUAGAACUGCAUUUGAAACUGUUAUUCUAGAGUGUGGGAGAGGUAGGUGGAAUUCGUGGUGUAGGGGUAAAAUGCGUAGAGAUCAAGAGGAAUACUCAUUGCGAAGGCGACCUGCUAGAACAUAACUGACGCUGAUGCGCGAAAGCGUGGGGAGCAAACAGGAUUAGAUACCCUAGUAGUC
rnacentral:rRNA from 1 species